UGGGGAAUUUUGGACAAUGGGCGCAAGCCUGAUCCAGCCAUUCCGCGUGCAGGAUGAAGGCCCUCGGGUUGUAAACUGCUUUUGUACGGAACGAAAMGCGCUGRGUUAAUACCUCGGCGUMAUGACGGUACCGUAAGAAUAAGCACCGGCUAACUACGUGCCAGCAGCCGCGGUAAUACGUAGGGUGCAAGCGUUAAUCGGAAUUACUGGGCGUAAAGCGUGCGCAGGCGGUGAUGUAAGACAGRUGUGAAAUCCCCGGGCUYAACCUGGGAACYGCAUUUGWGACUGCAUCGCUGGAGUGCGGCAGAGGGGGAUGGAAUUCCGCGUGUAGCAGUGAAAUGCGUAGAUAUGCGGAGGAACACCGAUGGCGAAGGCAAUCCCCUGGGCCUGCACUGACGCUCAUGCACGAAAGCGUGGGGAGCAAACAGGAUUAGAUACCCUGGUAGUCCACGCCCUAAACGAUGUCAACUGGUUGUUGGKCCUUCACUGNNUCAGUAACGAAGCUAACGCGUGAAGUUGACCGCCUGGGGAGUACNGCCGCAAGGUUG
rnacentral:rRNA from 1 species